GUUCCUGCCUGUGGAUUUUCUGUCCAUUAUUUCCCAAUCCUCCAUUUUUCUUUUGCGUGUCAUUCGAAAAUCAAUGGCAAGAACAAUAUAUAUCUGGCCAUCCUAUAUUUCACCAUUUCCCAAUAUUUAUUGUGGUCUCACCAAUAAUCAACAACGAAAUAUUAUAUGCAGAAAAGCAACAAAUGAAACAGAUUGGUACAUGUACAAGAUACGUGGAUAAGUAGUUUAGUUUCCAUGUGAGGCAAGUUAAAAUAUUGGAAUGGAUUGGUGCAAAUAUGGAUGAUGGAUAUCAUUAACGGGCCAACUGUAGA
rnacentral:misc_RNA from 1 species